GAGGUUUACAAGAAUGUGAAGGCCAAUUGCAAAGCAGUUUCCAUAGCAAUGGGAAAGCCAGUGGCUGUAUAUGGUUAUUUCCAUAUACUGCCAAAGCUGACCAUUAUGAGGUAUGGAACACAAACACAAGCUAAGCCUUGUAUGUCAUAAUUGUUGGCCUCUUGAGAUACAGGCCAGAUGUACUUCAACUCUCCACCUGAAGCAGGCCAAUAUCAACAACCAAGACAGGCGCCUGGCUCCAUCAAGAGGCAGCAAUCCAGCUGCUGCAGAGAUCUUGAAAAGAGAAGAUGGUGAGAUACAGGCGUUACCACAGGCAUCGCAGCAGGAGAAGCACCCGUUUUAGAGGACAUGCCAGGGAGAGGAAGCAAGGAGCAAGGAGAGACAGGAAGAGGAAAGGCAGAAAAGGAGGUGAAAACCACUACCACUAUAGGAGGCGUGUGGUGUAUUAAACCGUCAGUUGCAUCCUGUCCUAUAUACCGUAAUAUAGCAACAAGCUGCCAUUGCAAUGACCUUAGAAUUUCCACCUCCAGCCUGUGAAACGAACCCAUAGGUGCCAUUCUGAUUUCUGGGAGCAGAAGGAAGAAGACCCGCUGGCCAUAAGGGCUGCCUUGUAGUAAAC